UGGGGAAUAUUGCACAAUGGGCGCAAGCCUGAUGCAGCCAUGCCGCGUGUGUGAAGAAGGCCUUCGGGUUGUAAAGCACUUUCAGCGAGGAGGAAGGUGGUGGACUUAAUNCGUUCAUCAAUUGACGUUACUCGCAGAAGAAGCACCGGCUAACUCCGUGCCAGCAGCCGCGGUAAUACGGAGGGUGCAAGCGUUAAUCGGAAUACUGGGCGUAAAGCGCACGCAGGCGGUUUGUUAAGUCAGAUGUGAAAUCCCCGGGGCUCAACCUGGGAACUGCAUUUGAAACUGGCAAGCUAGAGUCUCGUAGAGGGGGGCUAGAAUUUCCAGGUGUAGCGGUGAAAUGCGUAGAGAUCUGGAGGAAUACCGGUGGCGAAGGCGGCCCCCUGGANGAAGACUGACGCU
rnacentral:rRNA from 1 species